ACAGGGCGCAGCCAGGACCGGCCCGGGCGGACAGACCGGCCCGCCGGGAGCCCGGGGCGGGGGGUGGAGGGGAUUGCGGUGAUGGAAGCGGGGGAGAACCGGGUUCCCAAAUUACCGGUUUCCCUUUAGACAGCCGCCGUCUGUUGUCGCCCGCUCCUCCUGUCUGCCCCGGGACCGCCUCCGCUCGGGUAUCUGUCCGUCUGCGCCCCCUCCUCCCCGGCAUGUCCGUCUGUCCAGCGCCUCCCGCGCUGUGGCUGUCUCAUAUCCCCCCCAAACCAUCACAACCAAAAUAGGGACAAGCACACACUUCGCUGGCCUGCCGUUUCUGCCUUGGACUGCCGGAUUUCCGGGUGCAUUGUUGCGGUUGGGGUCCCCACCAGGGGAGACAGACAGACAAGGGGAGACAAUCUGUUCACACUCAAGCCACAGCCCCAAAGCCCUCCCGUUCCUUUCCCCGCUCCCUUGGGGUUCUCUUGCCUGUCUUUCUCGAGCCUCUUUCAAGAGACAGGCAGCCCGUGGUCCUUCCAUCCUGUGUCCGGGAAGCUGUCCACAGCUGGGAGGUUCUAACAACUCAUCCCCAACACACACUCCCAACACCCCCCCAUCCAGUAGCUUCAUGUGACCAGGGCUGGGGCGAAUCUCCGAGCAGAGAGAAGAAAUUGAGUGUGUGACAGUGUGAAUGGAUGUGACUAUAGGUGAGCAACAGUCGGUGACAAUGUGCACAUCUGGUAUUUCCUGUGUGAGAGCAAAACUGCAGGACUCAGUGAGUGGUUUCUGUGGUUUGCACUUGUGUAUCUGGGUGUAUGGGAGUGUGUAGCCCUGCUGACUGUGUAGAUAUGAAUGUGUGUGCAGUUGUGAGUCUUGCAUGUGGUCAUCUAUGUGAAACAAUGCCUGUAUAAGUACCCAUGGAUGUGCACGGUUUUGCCUCUAGCCGUGCAUUUCUGGUUCUGUGUGUGUGUGUUUCUGGUUUUUUCGUUUGUUUUUUAGAGAUGGGGUCUGGCUGUGUUGCCCAGGCUAGUCUUAAACUCCUGGGCUCAAGCGAUCCCCGCCGUCUCAGCCUCCCGACUAGUGGGGACUACAGGCAAGCGCCACUACACUCGGCUAAUUUUCCUGUCUCUACACAUAAUACAAAAAUUAGGCCAGGCGCAGUGGCUCAUGCCUGUAAUCCCAGCAAUUUGGGAGGCCAAGGAGGGUGGAUCACCUGAGGUCAGGAGUUCGAGACCAGCCUAGCCAACAUGGUGAAACCCCAUCUCUACUAAAAAUAAAGAAAAAAAAGCCAGGCAUGGUGGUGGGUGCCUGUAAUCCCAGCCACUUGGAAGGCUGAAGCUAAAGAAUUGCUUAAACCCGGGAGGUAGAGGUUGCAGUGAUCCAAGAUCACGUCAUUGCACUCCAGCCUGGGCAACAAGAGUGAAACUCCGUCUCAAACAACAACAACAACAAUAAAAACAAAACGAAAAUUAGCCGGGCAUGGUGGUGCACACCUGGAAUCCCAGCUACUUGGCAGGCUGUGGUGGGAGGAUCAUCAGAGACCAGGAGAUCAAGGCUGCAGUGAGCUGUGAUUACACCACUGUACUCCAGCCUGUACAACAGAGUGAGACUUUGUCUCAAAAGAAAAACAAAAAACAAAAACAAAAAUUUAAAAAACCCCUAAAAACUAUGGAUUUGAACUCUGUUGUCUUUUUUUUUU
rnacentral:lncRNA from 1 species